UGAGUAACGCGUGGGAACGUACCUUUGGUUCGGAACAACACAGGGAAACUUGUGCUAAUCCGGAUAAGCCCUUACGGGGAAAGAUUUAUCGCCGAAAGAUCGGCCCGCGUCUGAUUAGCUAGUUGGUGAGGUAAUGGCUCACCAAGGCGACGAUCAGUAGCUGGUCUGAGAGGAUGAUCAGCCACAUUGGGACUGAGACACGGCCCAAACUCCUACGGGAGGCAGCAGUGGGGAAUAUUGGACAAUGGCGCAAGCCUGAUCCAGCCAUGCCGCGUGAGUGAUGAAGGCCCUAGGGUUGUAAAGCUCUUUUGUGCGGGAAGAUAAUGACGGUACCGCAAGAAUAAGCCCGGCUAACUUCGUG
rnacentral:rRNA from 1 species